ACGCUGGCGGCGUGCUUAACACAUGCAAGUCGAACGCUGAAGGCCCAGCUUGCUGGGUUGGAUGAGUGGCGAACGGGUGAGUAACACGUGAGUAACCUGCCCCCUUCUUUGGGAUAACGGUCGGAAACGGCUGCUAAUACCGGGUAUUCACUGUCCUUCGCAUGGGGGGUGGUGGAAAGGUUUUUUCUGGUGGGGGAUGGGCUCGCGGCCUAUCAGCUUGUUGGUGGGGUGAUGGCUUACCAAGGCUUUGACGGGUAACCGGCCUGAGAGGGUGACCGGUCACAUUGGGACUGAGAUACGGCCCAGACUCCUACGGGAGGCAGCAGUGGGGAAUAUUGCACAAUGGGCGAAGGCCUGAUGCAGCGACGCCGCGUGAGGGAUGACGGCCUUCGGGUUGUAAACCUCUUUCGCUCAUGGUCAAGCCGCAACAGUGGUUGUGGUGAGGGGAGUGGGUAAAGAAGCACCGGCUAACUACGUGCCAGCAGCCGCGGUAAUACGUAGGGUGCGAGCGUUGUCCGGAAUUAUUGGGCGUAAAGGGCUUGUAGGCGGUUUGUCGCGUCUGCCGUGAAAUCCUCUGGCUUAACUGGGGGCGUGCGGUGGGUACGGGCAGGCUUGAGUGCGGUAGGGGAGACUGGAACUCCUGGUGUAGCGGUGGAAUGCGCAGAUAUCAGGAAGAACACCGGUGGCGAAGGCGGGUCUCUGGGCCGUUACUGACGCUGAGGAGCGAAAGCGUGGGGAGCGAACAGGAUUAGAUACCCUGGUAGUCCACGCUGUAAACGUUGGGCACUAGGUGUGGGGGCCACCCGUGGUUUCUGCGCCGUAGCUAACGCUUUAAGUGCCCCGCCCGGGGAGUACGGCCGCAAGGCUAAAACUCAAAGGAAUUGACGGGGGCCCGCACAAGCGGCG
rnacentral:rRNA from 1 species